GUGCCAGCCGCCGCGGUAAGACGUAGGAUGCAAGCGUUGUCCGGAUUUAUUGGGCGUAAAGAGUUCGUAGGUGGUUCGUUAAGUCUGAUGUUAAAGACUGGGGCUCAACCUCGGAAAUGCAUUGGAUACUGGCGGACUUGAGUGUGGUAGAGGCAAUCGGAAUUCCAGGUGUAGCGGUGAAAUGCGUAGAUAUCUGGAAGAACACCGGUGGCGCAAGCGGAUUGCUGGGCCAUAACUGACACUGAGGAACGAAAGCUAGGGUAGCGAAUGGGAUUAGAUACCCUGGUAGUCC
rnacentral:rRNA from 1 species